GUGCUCGCUUCGGCAGCACCUAUAUUAAAUUGGAAUGAUACAGAGAUUAGCAUGGCCCUGCACGUGAGGAUGACACACACAUUCAUGAAGCAUUCCAUAUUUUU